UACGUAGGGAGCUAGCGUUGUCCGGAAUCAUUGGGCGUAAAGCGCGCGUAGGCGGCCCGGUAAGUCCGCUGUGAAAGUCAAGGGCUCAACCUUUGAAUGUCAGCGGAUACUGCCGGGCUAGAGUCCGGAAGAGGCGAGUGGAACUCCUGGUGUAGCGGUGGAAUGCGCAGAUAUCAGGAAGAACACCAACGGCGAAGGCAGCUCGCUGGGACGGAACUGACGCUAAGGCGCGAAAGCGUGGGGAGCGAACAGG
rnacentral:rRNA from 1 species